GAAUAUUGGGCAAUGGACGCAAGUCUGACCCAGCCAUGCCGCGUGAAGGAUGAAGGCGUUCUGCGUUGUAAACUUCUUUUAUUAGGGAAGAAACCUCCGAUUUCUAUUGGAGCCGACGGUACCUAACGAAUAAGCACCGGCUAACUCCGUGCCAGCAGCCGCGGUAAUACGGAGGGUGCAAGCGUUAUCCGGAUUCACUGGGUUUAAAGGGUGUGUAGGCGGAUAUUUAAGUCAGUGGUGAAAUCUCCGGGCUCAACCCGGAAACUGCCGUUGAUACUAUUUAUCUUGAAUUCUGUUGAGGUGGGCGGAAUACAUCAUGUAGCGGUGAAAUGCUUAGAUAUGAUGUAGAACACCGAUUGCGAAGGCAGCUCACUAAGCAGACAUUGACGCUGAGGCACGAAAGCGUGGGGAUCAAACAG
rnacentral:rRNA from 1 species